UAAGGAGGGGGCUAGCGUUGUUCGGAAUUACUGGGCGUAAAGCGCGCGUAGGCGGACCUGCAAGUCGGGGGUGAAAGCCCGAGGCUCAACCUCGGAACUGCCUUCGAUACUGCGGGUCUCGAGUCCGGGAGAGGUGAGUGGAAUUCCUAGUGUAGAGGUGAAAUUCGUAGAUAUUAGGAAGAACACAAGUGGCGAAGGCGGCCCACUGGCCCGGUACUGACGCUGAGGCGCGAAAGCGUGGGGAGCAAACAGG
rnacentral:rRNA from 1 species